ensembl:lncRNA
GGAAAAAGUAAACAAAGCUGGGGCAUAGAAGCAGAACCGAGUCGUAUGUGUGGAGGGACAGUAACUGUGUGUAUAUGUAAGCAUUUAAACACUGCAGAGAGUAGAAUUAACAGUAACAGUAUUGUAGAAAUUCAUUUCACCGAAACAAUAACGUGGCGCACAGUGUGACGCAUGCACCAGUUUAUUGUAUUUCCAGACUUGCUUUCGGCACAAUUUACAGUGCACGCUACUCUGUUUUUUGUCAGACUUGAAAUAGCCGAAAUACCUUCACACUAUGAAACUUCUAUGGCUCUUCCGUUCGACAAUCUCUCCGGCAUUGGAACCAUCAUCUGUUUUCUCUUCGGUAACCUUCGGUCACGCUCGGUUGAUUUUUCUAGUCGGCACACUCAUUUCCUCCAUUACCCGGGCAGUACGGUGGCUGGCUGCUUCCCAAACAAAUACACAUGUGCGGCUUGGCACUUGUGCUGUACGUAACAAGUCACGCGACGUGACGCUGCGGCUGUGAUUGGUUCGGCUCUGCGCUACUUAAUUUGGAUUGGCUUUUUUUUUUUUUUUUUUUUUAAGAGGACAAGAGCGGCGAGGUCUAUCGCGAUAGUUUAAUUUCUCUAUCGAGUAAAAGUUAUAUCGCGAUACAUAUCGUUAUCGUUCUAUCGCCCAGCUCUAUUGUAGGUAUAAGGAUAGAACCUCUAAAGGGAGCAAAUGAAAGAAGAAGAAAACUUUGAGAGGCAUUUUUUGCGAUGGUACUUUUAUGUGGUCUUUCAGGCUUUUUGGGGUUCCUGAUCUGCCCACUGCACGUCUUCUUUUUAAGGAUGUAACAGACUGUGGAUUUGGCUACGCCUAAAAUUUUUGCUCUGUUUGAUUAUUUUUUUGUUUCUUCGAACUAACAAUGUCCUCCUUCACUUCCUUGGACCUCAUAUUGGGAAUUCCAGUGCAAAAAUGGCAAAUACAAGUCCAACACUUGGAAUCAACUACCGUAAUUGUCGGGCUAUAAGCCGCUACUUUUUGCACAAGCUUUGAACCCUGCGGCUUUUAGUCAGGUGCGGCUUUUCAAUGGAUUGUCCAUGAGCGGAUUUGUUUUGUUUGUUCCGCUGUUGUACGGCACUAC